UCGAACGAAGCGCUUAAGACAGAUCUUUUCGGAGUGAAGACUUUUGUGACUCCGUUAAGGACGGGUGAGUAACGCGUGGGUAACCUGCCUCAUAGAGGGGGACAACAGUUGGAAACGACUGCUAAUACCGCAUAGUAAGAAGGAUUCGCAUGUUUUCUUCUUGAAAGCUUUUGCGCUAUGAGAUGGACCCGCGUCUGAUUAGCUAGUUGGUAAGGUAACGGCUUACCAAGGCGACGAUCAGUAGCCGGCUUGAGAGAGUGAACGGCCACAUUGGGACUGAGACACGGCCCAGACUCCUACGGGAGGCAGCAGUGGGGAAUAUUGCACAAUGGGGGAAACCCUGAUGCAGCGACGCCGCGUGAGUGAAGAAGUAUUUCGGUAUGUAAAGCUCUAUCAGCAGGGAAGAUAAUGACGGUACCUGACUAAGAAGCCCCGGCUAACUACGUGCCAGCAGCCGCGGUAAUACGUAGGGGGCAAGCGUUAUCCGGAUUUACUGGGUGUAAAGGGUGCGUAGGUGGCAAGGCAAGUCAGAUGUGAAAGCCCGGGGCUCAACCCCGGUAUUGCAUUUGAAACUGUUUAGCUAGAGUGCAGGAGAGGUAAGUGGAAUUCCUAGUGUAGCGGUGAAAUGCGUAGAUAUUAGGAGGAACACCAGUGGCGAAGGCGGCUUACUGGACGAUAACUGACGCUG
rnacentral:rRNA from 1 species